GGGUUAGUGGCGAACGGGUGAGUAACACGUGGGUAACCUGCCUCGUAGUGGGGAAUAACUCGCCGAAAGGCGAGCUAAUACCGCAUAACACCCUCGGUGAGAAUCCGAGUGGUAAAAUGCUCCGGCGCUACGAGAGGGGCCCGCGGCCGAUUAGCUUGUUGGUGGGGUAACGGCCUACCAAGGCNACGAUCGGUAGCUGGUCUGAGAGGAUGGUCAGCCACACGGGGACUGAGAUACGGCCCCGACUCCUACGGGAGGCAGCAGCUAAGAAUCUUGCGCAAUGGGCGAAAGCCUGACGCAGCAAUUCCGCGUGGGGGACGAAGGCCCUCGGGUCGUAAACCCCUUUUGUGAGGGAAGAAGUUCUGACGGUACCUCACGAAUAAGA
rnacentral:rRNA from 1 species